rnacentral:rRNA from 1 species
GGGACAGGAAGAGAAUUCUAAGGCCAGCGGGAGAAGGGUAGUUAAGGAACUCGGCAAAUUGACUCCGUAACUUCGGAAUAAGGAGUGCUCGAAAGAGCCGCAGAGAAUAGGCCCAGGCGACUGUUUAGCAAAAACACAGGUCUCUGCCAAAUCGAAAGAUGAAGUAUAGGGGCUGACACCUGCCCGGUGCCGGAAGGUUAAGAGGAGGAGUGAGAGCUCCGAAUUGAAGCCCCGGUAAACGGCGGCCGUAACGAUAACGGUCCUAAGGUAGCGAAAUUCCUUGUCGGGUAAGUUCCGACCCGCACGAAUGGUGUAACGAUCUGGGCACUGUCUCAACUACCCACCCGGCGAAAUUGUAGUACCGGUGAAGAUGCUGGUUACCUGCGGCAAGACGGAAAGACCCCAUGGAGCUUUACUGUAGCCUGAUAUUGGGUUUCGGAAAUCUAUGUACAGGAUAGGCGGGAGACUGGGAAACAUGAGCGUCAGCUUGUGUGGAGUCGAUGUUGGGAUACCGCCCUUAGGUUUCUGGAAUUCUAACCUGCGGCCGUGAAUCCGGUCGGGGGACAUUGUCAGGUGGGCAGUUUGACUGGGGCGGUCGCCUCCGAAAAGGUAACGGAGGCGCUCAAAGGUUAGCUCAGCACGGACGGAAACCGUGCCUCUGAGUGUAAACGCAAAAGCUAGCCUAACUGCGAGGGUGACGGCCCGAGCAGUAACGAAAGUUGGAGUUAGUGAUCCGGCGGUAUGUGAAUGGAAAUGCCGUCGCUCAACGGAUAAAAGCUACCCUGGGGAUAACAGGCUGAUCUCCCCCAAGAGUCCACAUCGACGGGGAGGUUUGGCACCUCGAUGUCGGCUCAUCACAUCCUGGGGCUGUAUUCGGUCCCAAGGGUUCGGCUGUUCGCCGAUUAAAGUGGUACGCGAGCUGGGUUCAGAACGUCGCGAGACAGUUCGGUCCCUAUCUGUCGUGGGCGCAGGAUAUUUGAGGAGCUCUGUCCUUAGUACGAGAGGACCGGGAUGGACGUACCUCUGGUGCACCAGUUGUCAUGCCAAUGGCACGGCUGGGCAGCUAUGUACGGAACGGAUAAACGCUGAAAGCAUCUAAGCGUGAAGCCGACUCCAAGAUUAGAUAUCCCAUCGUAUAACGAGUAAGACCCCUUGAAGACUACGAGGCUGAUAGGCUGCGUGUGUAAGUGCCGUGAGGCAUUCAGCUUGGCAGUACUAAUAGGUCGAGGGCUUGACC